UACGAGGGGGGCAAGCGUUGUUCGGAAUUACUGGGCGUAAAGGGCUCGUAGGCGGCCAACUAAGUCAGACGUGAAAUCCCUCGGCUUAACCGGGGAACUGCGUCUGAUACUGGUUGGCUUGAGUGUGGGAGAGGGAUGCGGAAUUCCAGGUGUAGCGGUGAAAUGCGUAGAUAUCUGGAGGAACACCGGUGGCGAAGGCGGGCAUCCUGGACCAUUACUGACGCUGACGGAGCGAAAGCCAGGG
rnacentral:rRNA from 1 species